CGUUUGCAGCCUGGACGACACAUGCUCCUUGUUGCCCUCUCCCCGCGUCCCCUCCCUCGACUUCUACCCCGAGCACGUGGGAGUGAAAUUCACAGAACAUAAUAUCCACCCAUUGGAAAGGAACAAUUCAGGGGUGCUGAGGACCUUCACGGUGCUGUGCGACCACCAUGACGUUCUAGUUCCCGAGCAUUUCUGCCUCAUUUGCACCUUACACCCUGUAUCCGCGGGCUCCUGCCACUCACCUGAGACAGUGGACACCAGUGGUGACAGCGAGGUUGCCUGGGAUUCCACCCGGAGAAGCAAGUUCCGGUCCCCGAGGCUCUGGGCCGCAGGCGCCCACACCAGUCGCUCUUGGAGUUGAAGCCCCGAUUCAGGUGCUGAUGUCCACAGGCCGGCACGAGGGCUCCAUCCUCGGGUCUAGAUUCCAGGCGCGUCUCAGGAGGAGCCUUUUCCCUUUUCUGGUGCUGGGGACGGAACCAGGGCCUGGUGCAGGCCAGGCAAGUGCACCUCCUCUGGGUUAUGCCCCCAAACCUCAGGGGGACUUUUCUCCU